AGUGGAUGGGGAGCAACCUAGUUGUGAGUGCGGAAAGGUAGUGCCAAGAAAAGCUGUCAGAAUGAUGAGAAUUGAGUCCCGGUACCCGAAACCGACACAGGUAGGCAAGUAGAGAAUACUAAGGGGCGCGAGGUAACUCUCUCCAAGGAACUCGGCAAAAUGACCCCGUAACUUAGGGAGAAGGGGUGCCACCGAGAGGUGGUCGCAGUGAAGAGGCCCAGGCGACUGUUUAGCAAAAACAUAGGUCUCUGCAAACUCGAAAGAGGAAGUAUAGGGGCUGACGCCUGCCCAGUGCCGGAAGGUUAAAGAAGUUGGUCAGGAGAAAUCUGAAGCUGGCGACUGAAGCCCCGGUGAACGGCGGCCGUAACUAUAACGGUCCUAAGGUAGCGAAAUUCCUUGUCGGGUAAGUUCCGACCCGCACGAAAGGCGUAACGAUCUGGGCGCUGUCUCGGAGAGAGGCUCGGCGAAAUAGGAUUGUCUGUGAAGAUACGGACUACCUGCAUUUGGACAGAAAGACCCUAUGAAGCUUUACUGUAGCUUGAAAUUGUGUUCGGGCUUCCUGUGCGCAGGAUAGGUGGGAGGCUAGGAAGGUCUGCUUGUGGGCAGAUUGGAGCCAACCGUGAGAUACCACUCUCAGGAGGCUAGAAUUCUAACUUAAUUAAGGACAGUUUCAGGUGGGCAGUUUGACUGGGGCGGUCGCCUCCAAAAAGGUAACGGAGGCGUACAAAGGUUCCCUCACACUGGUUGGAAAUCAGUGGCAGAGUGCAAAGGCAGAAGGGAGCUUGACUGCGAGACGGACAAGUCGAGCAGGGUGGAAACACGGUCUUAGUGAUCCGACGGUGCUGUGUGGAAGGGCCGUCGCUCAACGGAUAAAAGUUACUCUAGGAUAACAGGCUGAUCUCCCCCAAGAGUUCACAUCGACGGGGAGGUUUGGCACCUCGAUGUCGGCUCAUCGCAACCUGGGGCGGAAGUACGUCCCAAGGGUUGGGCUGUUCGCCCAUUAAAGCGGUACGUGAGCUGGUUCAGAACGUCGUGAGACAGUUCGGUCCAUAUCCGAUGUAGGCGUGAGAAUAUUGAGAGGAGCCUUCCUUAGUACGAGAGGACCGGGAAGGACGCACCGCUGGUGUACCUGUUAUGAUGCCAAUCGUAAACGCAGGGUAGCCAAGUGCGGAGAGGAUAACCGCUGAAAGCAUCUAAGUGGGAAGCCCACCUCAAGAUGAGUAUUCUGGUGUAAGGUCACGGGGAGACGACCCGUAGAUAGGCACGAGGUGGAAGUGCAGAGAUGUAUGAAGCCGAAGUGUACUAAUAGACCGUCGGCUUGACCA
rnacentral:rRNA from 1 species